rnacentral:rRNA from 1 species
UACGUAGGUGGCGAGCGUUGUCCGGAUUUACUGGGCGUAAAGAGCGCGCAGGCGGUCGUUCAAGUCGCGUGUGAAAGCCCCCGGCUCAACUGGGGAGGGUCACGCGAUACUGAUCGACUCGAAGGCAGGAGAGGGUAGUGGAAUUCCCGGUGUAGUGGUGAAAUGCGUAGAUAUCGGGAGGAACACCAGUGGCGAAGGCGGCUCACUGGCCCGGUACUGACGCUGAGGUGCGAAAGCGUGGGGAGCAAACAGG